rnacentral:rRNA from 1 species
UACGUAGGUGGCUAGCGUUGUCCGGAUUUACUGGGCGUAAAGAGCGCGCAGGCGGUCGUUCAAGUCGAGUGUGAAAGCCCCCGGCUCAACUGGGGAGGGUCACGCGAUACUGCUCGACUUGAAGGCAGGAGAGGGAAGUGGAAUUCCCGGUGUAGUGGUGAAAUUCGUAGAUAUUCGCAAGAACACCAGUGGCGAAGGCGGCUCACUGGUCCGGUACUGACGCUGAGGUGCGAAAGCGUGGGGAGCAAACAGG